UAAAAUCCUUUCAGCAGCUUCCAAUUCUAAACCUUCUCAUAGUCUCAACCUUCCCUGUGUCAGAAUGGGGAAGCAGGCAUGAAGAGGCAGGCUGAUUUUGUUUGUUUUCGGUUUAUGUCCAAACUUGGACAUCUCAUUUCUGAGAGAAGUGAGAAAGGCACUUGAUAAGCUGUCUGCAGCAGUUUCUCCUGAGGGGUCUGCCAAAAACUGCAUUGGAUUUCAAGGUCUGGUGUGCUUCGCCUCUUCAGGUCUGUUACAUUUCCCAGAAUGGUUCCCAGCGCUGGAGAUAAUUCCUUUUCGGAGAACCUACAUUUCUCACCUGCUGAUUGCAAUUAGCCACUGCCAGCUGGGGCCUGGUGUGCAGCUGAAAAGCUAACAAGAAGGGGAGACCACGCGGAACCCAGACAGGGCAGAGGAGGUGCCUCUUGAGGAACGAAGAGCCCUCCUGUAUACCUUUUGCCACUUAGUGAAGGACCAAGAGCCACAGAGUCUGGAUGGCCUUUUGACAUUAGGUGGAAGAUCUGGAGACACUAGCACUGGCCACAAGGCCAACGGCUGGGAAACAUGGAACCUGUUGUUGCCAUUGAUACUUGCAUGAAGUAUCUGUUGCUGACUGGUAUGGGGUAUGAGCUUCUCACUGGAUAGGGUCUAAAGGAGGUUCCUGAAGCUGAGAUAGGGAACCUAACCCACCCUCCUGUAGAAUAAUUUUACAGGUUUGCUGAUUGCUGUUGGGGAAAAAGAAUUUUCAAGACUGGUCAAUAAGAGGCACGGGAAGGGUUUUAUUAGGCAGAAAUUAAAAGGUACACACUUAAAGAAAUAGAGUGUGGUCCUCCAGAGGGAGAGGUAUCGUAUUUCCUGGAACAGGAAACACGUAUUCUUCUCUUGAGGGGGUGGAAACCCUGGGAAAAGGUGGCUCACCCCUAGAAGGAUAGUAGCCUAGUCUACUCAAAUGGGCCCAGUUUUUUAUUUUUUUUAAGGUAGAUAAUUUAAGUACUGUUUGGAUUCCUUCAACCUGUUCCUUUAUCUUAGGAUCAGGCUCCUGCCCCUUAUUUUCUCAAUUAAGCCAAUGUAUGGACUUUCAGUAUUUCUGAGGAAUCUUGAGUGUGAUGUGUCUGUAAAGAAAGGAGCCUAAAUUUAACCAAGGGAAUGCUGAUGCAGAUCACUUUGGUUGACUUUGACUGAGUCCAGAUCGUCUAACUCAGGACCCACUUUUGCCCACUGCUAUUGCUUGUUAUGGGUCAAGGAAUGAAUAGACUUCCUGAGCUCUCUUUGUGUCACUGCUGCGAGUAGAUUGGCCUACUACUGCCACUGGGCAUGGGUCUCCCUGCUGAGUUUCUGCUGGCUUUGCCUCUUCCUGGUAAACAAUAAAAAAUUGAAAAACGGAAAACCCAGGGAACUGCUUACCACAGUGUUGUUCUUCAAAUCCUGAGGUCCCAAGCCAGUUCAUUUUCUUCCAUCUGAGACUCAGAGGAUUUUUUUUUUUAAUUGUUUUCUGUUGAACUAUUUCCCGGGUUUUUAACUAGCGGCCACUUUUUAAAAAAUAAAAAAAACCAAAAUUAUUGCUCAGAACAGGCAUCAUUUCUGGGAGAUGGAUGUACAUAAAUUCAUUUUAUACAAUUUGUUAUACAUUCCUGUGGGUUUGAAAUACCAAAAAAAGGGCUGACUAUAAGGUUAUACCAGAAAUAAACCAAUUCUCAUUGCCAUUUCAGUCUCCCCUACUUUGAUUUACUCUAUUAUAUUUGUUUUGAUCAACAAAGUAAGUGUUUGGUCAAGACUCAUUAGGCAGAAAUGAUUUCAAUCAAUGCUAGUUUGGGGUGAUCAUCUGACAGAAUAGAUUAAAAAGGAAGCAAAGAAAUUUAAUGUAAAUUUAGUCAUUAUGCCUGGGGACAUAAGACUCACAGUUGCAAGAGUUAGAUGUUGAUAUAAGCUCAUUUUUUAAGGAUCACUUUUAAAAGCAGUGCAAUAAAGGUCUACUUUUGCAGAUAAUGAAUAUAACCCUAAAGGAUGAAUUUUCUAAAAAAUUGCCUUAAUGUGAGAAUGGGAACUUGAAGCUUCAAAUAUUUCCAG